ACGGAGACAUGGCAUGAAGCGAGAGAGUGAGAGACAUUAACUCAUUAGACUGGAACUUGAACUGAUUCACAUCUCAUUUU
rfam:Gorilla gorilla gorilla genomic chromosome, chr6, whole genome shotgun sequence